rnacentral:sRNA from 1 species
AUUUUCCAUUUUUUCCAAAUAGAAAAAAAGAAAAACCCGAAAUAGUGAAGAAAGUUCGGGGUUAACCAAGACUGGACUGGGGUGGGUGGUGGACCCACAUAACGUUACUCUUUCCACCUGAACCAGAAUACGGAUCAUUGUACACGAAAUAUUGGUUUAGCAAUACAUCCGGGUAGUGUAUCACUAUUUACGGAAGUUUCAAACAAUGGCGGCUAAAUGAUGAAGACACAACCUAAUUAGCUCUUUUUGACUAAAGGAGCCAAAUCAUCGUGUUGUUCACAGUACAAUAUAUGUGAAAGGGGAGGGAUAAACCGUCUUUGAUUACGGGAGAUAGGCAAACGGGAAACGAGGAGUGGGAAAAUUUAGAAAAGGUAUACCUGAUUAAUGAUGAAACAUUUAAGAAACUGUAGAAACCGAAGCAUAGGUGCUAAAGCCUUUGGAACUAUGUGUCCUUCGUUCUCUCGGAAAAGAGCGAUGAUACUUUGAGGAAAGUUCUCUUUUGUUUUUGUAGUCUCUUUCCCCAUAUAUAUAUAAAUAUGAUAUAUUACUCGGGCCGGUACUUUUUUUUUAGCCGCCGAAAUUAGGAUUCGAAAAUUAACAACCUAAAGGGGGUAAAAAUAGUUAAGAUAGUAUAUAUAUAUAAAUUGAAUUAUAUAUUUCAAUAAGGAAUGGUAUAAAAUUUUUCGUGGGGUUAGU